rnacentral:rRNA from 1 species
GACGAACGCUGGCGGCGUGCUUAACACAUGCAAGUCGAACGGAAAGGCCCUGCUUUUGUGGGGUGCUCGAGUGGCGAACGGGUGAGUAACACGUGAGUAACCUGCCCUUGACUUUGGGAUAACUUCAGGAAACUGGGGCUCAUACCGGAUAGGAGCUCCUGCUGCAUGGUGGGGGUUGGAAAGUUUCGGCGGUUGGGGAUGGACUCGCGGCUUAUCAGCUUGUUGGUGGGGUAGUGGCUUACCAAGGCUUUGACGGGUAGCCGGCCUGAGAGGGUGACCGGCCACAUUGGGACUGAGAUACGGCCCAGACUCCUACGGGAGGCAGCAGUGGGGAAUAUUGCACAAUGGGCGGAAGCCUGAUGCAGCAACUCCGCGUGCGGGAUGACGGCCUUCGGGUUGUAAACCGCUUUCGCCUGUGACGAAGCGUGAGUGACGGUAAUGGGUAAAGAAGCACCGGCUAACUACGUG